AGAACGAACGCUGGCGGCAGGCUUAACACAUGCAAGUCGAGCGCCCCGCAAGGGGAGCGGCAGACGGGUGAGUAACGCGUGGGAACAUACCCUCCGGUUCGGAAUAGCUCAGGGAAACUUGGAUUAAUACCGGAUACGGCCUAGCGGCGAAAGAUUGAUCGCCGGAGGAUUGGCCCGCGUCUGAUUAGCUAGUUGGUGGGGUAAUGGCCCACCAAGGCGACGAUCAGUAGCUGGUCUGAGAGGAUGAUCAGCCACAUUGGGACUGAGACACGGCCCAAACUCCUACGGGAGGCAGCAGUGGGGAAUAUUGGACAAUGGGCGCAAGCCUGAUCCAGCCAUGCCGCGUGAGUGAUGACGGCCUUAGGGUUGUAAAGCUCUUUCGCUAGGGACGAUAAUGAACGGUACCUAGACAAGAAGCCCGGCUAACUCGCGCCAGCAGCCGC
rnacentral:rRNA from 1 species